AGCGAACGCUGGCGGCAGGCUUAACACAUGCAAGUCGAGCGGGCAUCCUUGUGGUGUCAGCGGCAGACGGGUGAGUAACGCGUGGGAACGUGCCCUUCGGUUCGGAAUAACUCAGGGAAACUUGAGCUAAUACCGGAUACGUGCGAGAGCAGAAAGGUUUAUCUGCCGAAGGAUCGGCCCGCGUCUGAUUAGCUAGUUGGUGAGGUUACGGCUCACCAAGGCGACGAUCAGUAGCUGGUCUGAGAGGAUGAUCAGCCACACUGGGACUGAGACACGGCCCAGACUCCUACGGGAGGCAGCAGUGGGGAAUAUUGGACAAUGGGGGCAACCCUGAUCCAGCCAUGCCACGUGAGUGAUGACGGCCUUAGGGUUGUAAAGCUCUUUUCUCCGGGACGAUAAUGACGGUACCGGAGGAAUAAGCCCCGGCUAACUUCGUG
rnacentral:rRNA from 1 species